CAGUCGGCUACAAAUCAUCCUAGAAGCAACGUGAACGUGAAGUUGAAGACGUGAAGGUGAAAGGAAGCUGAAGCACGUGAUACGUGAAGUACUUUGCGGAAUCUAACGAGAGAUCAAGGAACCCUGUAAAAAUGUGUUUUCCAUAAGGUGCUCUUGGGCGUUCUAACACUGCAGAUAGAUACUGUACCGACAGCUAAGAAGGUGAAACUCUUAUUACAAUUCAAAAUACUAGAUUUGCUAGGAGACCAAUGAGUUGCUGCGCGUGCUGUCUCCACUUUAAUCAUAAUUCAUAAAUUUUUUUAUAGUAUUUAAAAAUGGAAUAAUGAAAAAAAUCAAACACGAGAGCCACCAAUGUCAGUUUUCAGUUAUGCUACUUUCUCGGUUCCAAGAAGAAUUGAAAGUAAUAUGGAAAAAUGCACAAAUAACGAACUCGCUUAGAAACGAAACUGAACAUUUUUAUCCUUCCAGCGCAGCGAACGUGGUAUUUGUAAAGGCAUAGGUGACUUUGUUAGUGCGUAUUGUAAUGUUUUUGUUACACAAUCAUGUACCACAUUUGGAGACUUAUUUAGCAGAAGAACAAUAUUUUAGAACGAAUGAACCAAAAAAUUUUUUUUGAAAUAAAUAGGAACCCCAAUUAACGACAAAAAAUAAAACAAGGAAAGAAUUUCAAGGUCCCAACAGAACUGUAACUAAUAUUGUUUUUGAAGAACUAAAGUAAGGUUCAAAAAAUUAAUCUAAUGAAAUAAAG